rnacentral:rRNA from 1 species
CUACGCACUCCUACGGGAGGCAGCAGUGGGAAUAUUGCACAAUGGGCGCAAGCCUGAUGCAGCCAUGCCGCGUGUAUGAAGAAGGCCUUCGGGUUGUAAAGUACUUUCAGCAGUGAGGAAGGUGGAUAUGUUAAUAGCAUAUUCAUUUGACGUUAGCUGCAGAAGAAGCACCGGCUAACUCCGUGCCAGCAGCCGCGGUAAUACGGAGGGUGCGAGCGUUAAUCGGAAUUACUGGGCGUAAAGCGCAUGCAGGUGGUUUGUUAAGUCAGAUGUGAAAGCCCGGGGCUCAACCUCGGAAUUGCAUUUGAAACUGGCAAACUAGAGUACUGUAGAGGGGGUAGAAUUUCAGGUGUAGCGGUGAAAUGCGUAGAGAUCUGAAGGAAUACCGGUGGCGAAGGCGGCCCCCUGGACAGAUACUGACACUCAGAUGCGAAAGCGUGGGGAGCAAACAGGAUUAGAUACCCUGGUAG